rnacentral:rRNA from 1 species
GACGAACGCUGGCGGCGUGCCUAAUACAUGCAAGUAGAACGCUGAAGGAGGAGCUUGCUCUUCUGGAUGAGUUGCGAACGGGUGAGUAACGCGUAGGUAACCUGCCUGGUAGCGGGGGAUAACUAUUGGAAACGAUAGCUAAUACCGCAUAAGAGUAGAUGUUGCAUGACAUUUACUUAAAAGGUGCAAUUGCAUCACUACCAGAUGGACCUGCGUUGUAUUAGCUAGUUGGUGGGGUAACGGCUUACCAAGGCGACGAUACAUAGCCGACCUGAGAGGGUGAUCGGCCCCCCUGGGAUUGGGGCACGGCCCAGCCCCCUCCGGGGGGCAGCAGUAGGGAAUCUUCGGCAAUGGCCGGAAGUCUGACCGAGCAACGCCGCGUGAGGGAAGAGGGUUUUCGGUUCGUAAAGCUCUUUUGUAAGAGAAGAACGGGUGGGGGGGUGGAAAGUUCACACUGUGCCGGUAUUUUACCAGAAAGGGCCGGCUACCUCCG